GUCCGUCUAGCUCAGUUGGCAGAGCGCAAGGCUCUUAACUUUGUGGUCGUGGGUUCGAGUACCCCGGUGGGCG
rnacentral:tRNA from 1 species